rnacentral:rRNA from 1 species
UACGUAGGGGGCGAGCGUUGUCCGGAAUCAUUGGGCGUAAAGAGCGUGUAGGCGGCCCGAUAAGUCCGCCGUGAAAGUCCAGGGCUCAACCCUGGGAUGCCGGUGGAAACUGUCGGGCUAGAGUCCGGAAGAGGCGAGUGGAAUUCCUGGUGUAGCGGUGAAGUGCGCAGAUAUCAGGAGGAACACCGGUGGCGAAGGCGGGUCUCUGGGCCGAUACUGACGCUGAGGAGCGAAAGCGUGGGGAGCGAACAGG